GGCGAGUGAAGCGGCAACAGCUCAAAUUUGAAAUCUGGUCCCCAGGGCCCGAGUUGUAAUUUGUAGAGGAUGCUUUUGGUGAGGUGCCGCCCGAGUUCCCUGGAACGGGACGCCACAGAGGGUGAGAGCCCCGUCUGGCUGGCCGCCGAGCCUCUGUAAAGCUCCUUCGACGAGUCGAGUAGUUUGGGAAUGCUGCUCAAAAUGGGAGGUAUAUGUCUUCUAAAGCUAAAUAUUGGCCAGAGACCGAUAGCGCACAAGUAGAGUGAUCGAAAGAUGAAAAGCACCUUGAAAAGAGGGUUAAAUAGUACGUGAAAUUGUUGAAAGGGAAGCGCUUGUGACCAGACUUGGGCGCGGCGGAUCAUCCGGGGUUCUCUCCGGUGCACUUCGCCGCGUCUAGGCCAGCAUCAGUUCGUCGCGGGGGAAAAAGGCUUCGGGAACGUGGCUCCUCCGGGAGUGUUAUAGCCCGUUGCAUAAUACCCUGCGGUGGACUGAGGACCGCGCAUCUGCAAGGA
rnacentral:rRNA from 1 species